rnacentral:lncRNA from 1 species
CUAAAGCUGAAGCUCCAGUACUUUGGCUACCUCAUGUGAAGAGUUGACUCAUUGGAAAAGACUCUGAUGCUGGAGGGAUUGGGGGCAGGAGGAGAAGGGGACAACAGAGGAUGAGAUGGCUGGAUGGCAUCAUGGACUCGAUGUUCGUGAGUCUGAGUGAACUCUGGGAGUUGGUGAUGGACAGGGAGGCCUGGCAUGCUGCAAUUCAUGGGGUCGCAAAGAGUCGGACACGACUGAGCCACUGAACUAAACUGAAAGAAUAUAGAUUCUCAAGUGGAAGAAUGAAUAUAGCACCACUUUUUUGUAACAAAGUAAUUUUUCAGGUUGUUGAAUAUUGUAUCACAAGCGAAUCAAGGAAGAUCUGGGAUAAUAUUGACCAGGUGGCCUCUGAUGGCUGCUGACGGAAAAGGGGAAGCAUUUCUCCUCCAAGACUGGGAUGGAGAUGCGUCUCUUGCACAGACAACGUUCAGAAUGGAAGUAUCUGGAAAGUCAGAUUGUGUCAACUUCAUUACUAUCUACCCAAUGCCCAGCCCAGAACCUGGCUCAGCCCAACAGAUAGGAGGCCGUGAGAAAUACAUCAAUAAAGAGAGCAGCAGCACAUUUGAAUAGUGACUAGUGGCUGCAUUUGUCAUCUGAAAUGCUGGUGCAAAAUGCUACGGUUGAAAUGAGUCCAUUGUUUGGAAGGGGAUUGGAAGAAUCCUGGAGUGGCUGCCACCAAAAUGAGGUACAUAAAUAGAAUUUAUUAUGAGAGGCAAAGGAGUUGCCAUGAAAAUCAGAAGAAUCCAACAUGCUGGAAUGUUUAGCACUUU